CGUCCUUCUGCUACGUUUUGGGGUGACGCAGGAAGGUAGUCGUACCAGUCAGUGGUAAUACUGGGGCAAGGUUGUAGGGCGUUGGGUAGGUAAAUCCGCUCAACAUGUGCCUGAGAACUGACGCAUAGCCGAUUGGGGCGAAUUCGAUGAUCCUAUGCUGCCGAGAAAAGCCUCUAGCGAGCUCUGAGCGGCCCGUACCCCAAACCGACACAGGUGGUCAGGUAGAGAAUACUAAGGCGAUCGAGUGAACCAUGGUUAAGGAACUCGGCAAAAUGCCCCCGUAACUUCGGGAGAAGGGGGGCCUGUCCGCGUGAUCCGUACUUGCGACGGUGAGCGUGGGAAGGCCGCAGAGACCAGCGAGAAGCGACUGUUUACUAAAAACACAGGUCCGUGCGAAGUCGCAAGACGAUGUAUACGACUGACGCCUCCCCGGUGCUGGAAGGUUAAGAGGACCGGUUAGCCGUAAGGCGAAGCUGGGAAUUUAAGCCCCAGUAAACGGCGGUGGUAACUAUAACCAUCCUAAGGUAGCGAAAUUCCUUGUCGGGUAAGUUCCGGCCUGCACGAAUGGCGUAACGACUUCUCGACUGUCUCAACCGUGGACUCGGCGAAAUUGCACUACGAGUAAAGAUGCUCGUUACGCGCGGCAGGACGGAAAGACCCCGGGACCUUUACUAUAGCUUCAUAUUGGUGUUCGGUUCGAAUUGUGUAGCAUAGGUGGGAGACUGUGAAGCUGGCACGCUAGUGUUGGUGGAGUCAACGUUGAAAUACCACUCUGUUCAAAUUGGAUGUCUAACCUCGGUCCGUAAUCCGGAUCAGGGACAGUGUGUGGUGGGUAGUUUGACUGGGGCGGUCGCCUCCUAAAAUGUAACGGAGGCGCCCAAAGGUUCCCUCAGCCUGGUUGGCAAUCAGGUGUUGAGUGCAAGUGCACAAGGGAGCUUGACUGUGAGACUGACAGGUCGAGCAGGGACGAAAGUCGGGACUAGUGAUCCGGCACUGGCUUGUGGAAGCGGUGUCGCUCAACGGAUAAAAGGUACCCCGGGGAUAACAGGCUGAUCUUCCCCAAGAGUCCAUAUCGACGGGAUGGUUUGGCACCUCGAUGUCGGCUCGUCGCAUCCUGGGGCUGGAGUAGGUCCCAAGGGUUGGGCUGUUCGCCCAUUAAAGCGGCACGCGAGCUGGGUUUAGAACGUCGUGAGACAGUUCGGUCCCUAUCCGCCGCGCGCGCAGGAGUCUUGAGAAAGGCUGUCCCUAGUACGAGAGGACCGGGACGGACGAACCUCUGGUGUGUCAGUUGUCCUACCAAGGGCACUGCUGAUUAGCUACGUUCGGAAGGGAUAACCGCUGAAAGCAUCUAAGCGGGAAGCUCGUUUCAAGAUGAGGACUCCCAUCCCUAGUGGAGUAAGGCCCCCGGCGAGACCACCGGGUUGAUAGGCCAGAAGUGGAAGACCAGUAAUGGUUGCAGCUGACUGGUACUAAUAGGCCGAGGACUUCACC
rnacentral:rRNA from 1 species